UACGGGGGGGGCAAGCGUUGUUCGGAAUUACUGGGCGUAAAGGGUUCGUAGGUGGCCAACUAAGUCAGACGUGAAAUCCCUCAGCUUAACUGGGGAACUGCGUCUGAGACUGGAUGGCUUGAGUGCAGGAGAGGAACGCGGAAUUCCAGGUGUAGCGGUGAAAUGCGUAGAUAUCUGGAGGAACACCGGUGGCGAAGGCGGCGUCCUGGACCAACACUGACACUGAUGAGCGAAAGCCAGGGGAGCAAACGGG
rnacentral:rRNA from 1 species